GAUUACUUAGAUCCUCGUUAACAGAACACAAGAUGGAGUUAGUACUGUGUCUUAGUCUUUCCCAGAAGGAAGCCGUCCUCGCUCUGAGUAUGGCGAAGAAGUCAGGGACCCUCGCCGCAGCAAACAUGGCUUUAGCACUGCAGAAACGCGGAUGCUUCAUUAGGAUGCGGAAGGCGUUGUUAUAUUGUAUCCUAAGCGCAUUAUAGCUGCGCUUAAUCCUAUUGUUAU